rnacentral:rRNA from 1 species
UAUCUCUGUAGAGUCUGCAUAUCAAUAAGCGGAGGAAAAGAAACUAACUAGGAUUCCCUCAGUAACGGCGAGUGAAGCGGGAAGAGCUCAAAUUUGAAAUCUUCAAGGUUCUACCUUGACGAAUUGUAGUUUAAAGAAGUGUUUUCUGUUGGAGUUUUGGUAAAAGUUCUUUGGAAUAGGACAUCAUAGAGGGUGAGAAUCCCGUAUUUGACCAUUAUUUCCAGCUUUGUGAUACACUUUCAAAGAGUCGGAUUGUUUGGGAAUGCAGUCCAAAAUGGGUGGUAAAUUUCAUCUAAAGCUAAAUAUUGGCGAGAGACCGAUAGCGAACAAGUACCGUGAGGGAAAGAUGAAAAGAACUUUGAAAAGAGAGUUAAACAGUACGUGAAAUUGUCAAAAGGGAAGCGUUUGACACCAGUGUUGUUUUCUCGAAAAUCAAUUAAAAAAGGCAGGAUUUUGUGUUGUAUUGACUUUAUCAGCUUUCUGCACUCUUUUCUUGUCUUUUUUAAUGCACUUUUCGUUUAACAAGUCAACAUCAAUUUCUUUUGUUGUAAAAGGGUCAUUGGAAGGUGGCUUUCCUUUCGGAGAAAGUGUUUAUAGUCCUUUGGCCUCUGCAAUCGGAGAGAUUGAGGUCUGCAGCGUAGAUCCUUCGGGGUUAGAUACAUUUGUGCUAAGUUAUAGCCUUUCAUAGACAACUUGUUGACUAUGAUCAGUCAUGUAGCUUACUCGCUUAUGCUAUUUUACCUACGCUUAGGAUGUUGACGAUCAGCUGAGCGCG